rnacentral:rRNA from 1 species
UACGGAGGGUGCAAGCGUUGUCCGGAAUCACUGGGCGUAAAGGGCGCGUAGGCGGCUCAUGAAGGCUGUGGUGAAAGUCCGGGGCUCAACCUCGGAUCGGCCGUGGCGACUCGUGGGCUGGAGCACUGUAGAGGCGGGUGGAAUUCCGGGUGUAGCGGUGGAAUGCGUAGAGAUCCGGAAGAACACCAGUGGCGAAGGCGGCUCUCUGGGACGGUACUGACGCUGAGACGCGAAAGCGUGGGGAGCGAACAGG